UCCGUCCUCCUCGACGGGAUCGUGGGCACUGUAAUCGAAUCCCUCCUCUCUCUCCUCGGCCUCGUCCCAUGUAAAAAAAGCAAGGACGACGCCCCGGGGUCAUCCCUCAUUUACGCCUGCACGCACAUCGAGGUAGCCUGGCCUGCACCGAGAGUUUGGGGGAGGAGAUUUGCCGUUGACGGGCACGCAGUCGUGGUCGCCCUGGCCUCGCCACGGUGUUCUAGUGCGGUGGCGCUGUGCCUUGGCGCUCCGACUGCCUUCGUGGUGUAGUUCGUGGACGGGAACCGAAUGGCGCUGGGGCAAUUGCUCGCCAGACAUGGUGUACCGCCGUGGUGUAGUUCGGCGACGGGAACCGAACCCACCUCACCCAAAUCACCGGGGAGUGGCCAUGGAAUUCAUGAUAUUGAUUGGGAUACAAUAAUGGUAGAAGAAACCAACAACGAAGAAGGAAGAAAUGGUGUUACUAGUGAACAAGGUCUAUAUUAUCAGCUUGGACUGGAUACUCAAGAUGAUAGAAGGGAAGAUGAUUCAAGUGCUUCCCGUUUUGGAAAUAGCAUUCCAUGUGAAGAAGAAUUGGGAGCAGGCAUUUCGUGUUCUGAUGCAGUGCUCGAUGAGACUAGGACCAUAUAUGAUAUGAACAAUCCAGUAAUGGAGCUUGGCAGCUUGUAUGCAACAAUGCACCACUUCAGACACGCAAUUAGACAAUAUACGCCAUAAAUAAAGAAUUUGAGCUUGGAAUUGAGGCAACCAAUAAGACUAGAUUUAUAGGGUAUUAUAAAGGGCCUGAUUGCCCUUGGAGCAUUCAUGCUAGACCGGAGAAUGAAGCUGUCCUUGCAAUUAUACCAGCUAAUGAAGAUCUUGUUGAAAGACCUUCGUCGCCACCAGAAGAACGUGUAGUUCGUGUCCUAGUUAAAAAGAUCACACCUAGGAAGAAGAAUGUUUGAGUACUAUGGUCAAGUACAUUGUUCUUAUGGUACUUUGUAUGGUACUAUGGUCAAGUAAUGUUUGAGUACUUGAGUCAUCACAGGCAGGUGACAUUUGUAUGGUACUUUGUCCUCUGUAUGAAACUAUGGUAUUUCUGUGA